rnacentral:rRNA from 1 species
GGCCAGACUCCUACGGGAGGCAGCAGUGGGGAAUAUUGCACAAUGGGGGGAACCCUGAUGCAGCGACGCCGCGUGGGUGAAGAAGCGCCUCGGCGCGUAAAGCCCUGUCAGCAGGGAAGAAAAUGACGGUACCUGAAGAAGAAGCCCCGGCUAACUACGUGCCAGCAGCCGCGGUAAUACGUAGGGGGCAAGCGUUAUCCGGAUUUACUGGGUGUAAAGGGGGCGCAGACGGCGAUGCAAGCCAGGAGUGAAAGCCCGGGGCCCAACCCCGGGACUGCUCUUGGAACUGCGUGGCUGGAGUGCAGGAGGGGCAGGCGGAAUUCCUGGUGUGGCGGUGAAAUGCGUAGAUAUCAGGAGGAACACCGGUGGCGAAGGCGGCCUGCUGGACUGCAACUGACGUUGAGGCCCGAAAGCGUGGGGAGCAAACAGGAUUAGAUGCCCGCGUA